AGCGAACGCUGGCGGCAGGCCUAACACAUGCAAGUCGAACGAACCUUUCGGGGUUAGUGGCGGACGGGUGAGUAACACGUGGGAACGUGCCUUUAGGUUCGGAAUAACUCAGGGAAACUUGUGCUAAUACCGAAUGUGCCCUUCGGGGGAAAGAUUUAUUGCCUUUAGAGCGGCCCGCGUCUGAUUAGCUAGUUGGUUGAGGUAAUGGCUCACCAAGGCGACGAUCAGUAGCUGGUCUGAGAGGAUGAUCAGCCACAUUGGGACUGAGACACGGCCCAAACUCCUACGGGAAGCAGCAGUGGGGAAUCUUGCGCAAUGGGCGAAAGCCUGACGCAGCCAUGCCGCGUGAAUGAUGAAGGUCUUAGGAUUGUAAAAUUCUUUCACCGGGGACGAUAAUGACGGUACCCGGAGAAGAAGCCCCGGCUAACUUCGUG
rnacentral:rRNA from 1 species